GGAAGGUCUACAGCUCAGUGGCACAGCAUCUGCUUUGCAUGCAGAAGGUCCCAGGUGUAAUCCUUGGCAUCUCCA
rnacentral:tRNA from 1 species